rnacentral:lncRNA from 1 species
CUUGCAGUGAGACUUGCAAAUCGGCGAAUCACAGUCGACGUGACAAACUUUAGCUUUAGGGUUUUCGGAAUAAGUUGAAGGACAUUGGUAAGGGCAUUCUAUACGCUUUCCAUAACAUCGGCUUCCUGGGUUAUUGCAGUACACAGAUGCAGCUUCUGUUUCUUGGAUAAAUAUCAGACCUGCAACAAACACCAUUGCCAUGGCAAAUAAAAGAGACCUUCUUGACCAUGUCUCCAUGUUGCUCGAAUUAAAUAUCAACAAUGGCUAAGGCUAUGAUUGUGACUAGUACAGUGUUGAAUAUUGAUGAUGAAACAGGGUGUAUCGGUGGUCUAUUUAUAGUCUUCAAGAUGUCAGUGU